rnacentral:rRNA from 1 species
CCUACGGGAGGCAGCAGUGGGGGAUAUUGCACAAUGGGGGAAACCCUGAUGCAGCGACGCCGCGUGAGUGAAGAAGUAUUUCGGUAUGUAAAGCUCUAUUAGCAGGGAAGAAAAUGACAGUACCUGACCAAGAAGCACCGGCUAACUCCGUGCCAGCAGCCGCGGUAAUACGUAGGGUGCAAGCGUUAUGCGGAGUCACUGGGCGUAAAGAGAGCGUAGGCGGGAAUGUAAGUCUGGAGUGAAAGCCCGGGGCUCAACCACAGGACUGCAUUUGAAACUGUGUGACUGGAGUACAGGAGAGGUAGGCGGAAUUCCUGGUGUAGCGGUGAAAUGCGUAGAGAUCAGGAGGAACA